CGCCGCCCCAGCGGCCCCGGCCGGAGGAGACAGGUGAGCGGCCGCCUCUCCCGCCCGCCGCCCAGGCCCCGCACCUGGUCGCCGCCACCUGCCGCUUCCCGCCUCCCCACCCUACCUCCGCGCGGCCCGGCCUCGAGCCCCUAGUCCGGCUCCCAGCCCGCCCGGGCAUCUCGUCCCCGGGGAGGGGACCCUCACCCUCGCCUCCACGACCCGGCCAGGCGCGUCUCCCGCCGGGAUUCCCGCCCCAUCCUCGGCCUCCUCCCUUCUCUCCCCGGGCUGCACCUGCCUCUGGUCGCUCCCGUCCCAGAAGCCUCCUGGAGCAUCCCGGCCCCCUUGCCCGCGGUGCGCACCUUAUCACGGACUCGGUUCCCCCCCCCCCCGGGUCGUGCUCCGCAGCAUUCCCCCACCCCCUAUUUCCUCCGGUUUCUCUACCCAGAGGGAGCCUCGCGCCUCGCUCCCUCGGUCCCGACCCUGUCCUGCCCCCUCGGCCUGACAUCUAUUUCCUAACUUCUGAGAGUCCAGCCCCUGUCCCCUCUGCCUCAGCCUGCCUUCCUCCCUUCCCCCCCUCCCCGCCCCAGCACACACACGCCCCCAGCUCGCCCAUCCAGUGUUCCAAACCUCCGGCUCCAAGCUGUCCCCUGGGCAGCGCCUGUGUUUUGUCUUAUGUGCAUGCCCUCCGGGCUGUCCCUUUGAAGACACCUUUAUUUCCUGUGGCCGAGCUUGGCCCUGGAGGAGAGGGGCCGGUGCGUCUGUGCAUCCAGGUCCAGAGCCCCUGCCCUGCACAUUUCUCCGCGUCCCAGCACCGCUUUCCUUUUCCCGAGCAACCCCUCCUCCUGGAGCUCUCGAAUUUAACCCAUUCCUCCCCAAGGUGUGUUGCUCUUGAUUGGGUUAUUGGGGAGCACUUUCCAGUUGAGGGCUUUUCCAGGGGAGGUAUAUCAAAACGGGGAGGAAUGGUGGUUUGGGAAAAGUCCAGCCUCCUGGUUAGCUAUCCAUAAUAAUUCUAGAAAGUGGGGGGCGGGGGGGCGGUUGCUAGGGAGGAGUGGGAAGGGGUGGAAGGGGCACUUGAUCUCCUGGGGAGUGUGAGAUUUUUUGUUUUUCCAAUGGGGGCACCGUGGGUCAGACUGAGCCACCGAGCCGUAUCGGACACCUCAGCUGACUCCAGCAAAAGAGGCCUUGGAGCCCCUGGUUAUUGGGGCGUCUCCUAGUCCUAGAUCCUGGGAAGGGAGGAGGGUUUGGAAGGUGAGUGACCGAAGCAGUUGUUGUCGGGUCAAAUGAUUGUCAGAAUCGAAACCUGUUUCCGCUGGGGAAACGGUCUUGCCAGUGUCCUGUGUACGUGCCCUGCACUUUUCCUUCGCUACGACCGCCUCACACCCUCCGGCCAUCGACAGACAGGUAGGGCGUGGGGAAAUCUGUCAUCUCUCCGUUUUGUGCUUGGGGGGAAAAAAAAAAGAAAAUGAAAAGCUGGAGGAUUGGUUUAUUAAGUAGGGUCACUAAUGGUUGGUAUCAGAAACAGUAAUCCCUAACCUCUUUUAAAAAUUAGGAAUAGUUUCCUUGCUUUUCAGCUAGGUCUGAAUUAGCUAUUGAAGGAAAGAGUAAGAGUUUAUUUAAGGCUUGGGAGAGAUUUUGCAGAAUCUGCCUGAAGUUCAAGAGUGGCAGUGUUGGUAGUCUGGAGGUUUGCAGGCCCCGGGUGGAAGGACCCGGACUUGAUCAGGAUCUCUAGUGCGCCCUGGUGAGGGGGGUGGGGAAUAGGUUGUCUUAAAAAUUGGGAAUUUCGGCUCCAUUCUGGCUAAUUGUUUUUGUGGGCAGCAGCUGUAAAAGAAAGAAAUGGAUCUUUUGAGAUGCAUUUGAAAUGCAUAUUAGGUAUUUAGUGGUGGCUUUUUAGUGGCCCCGGCUGUCCCCCAGGGAGGCUGCCCACCCACUCCUGGGGCCAGUGAGUUGCCUGCUUCCCUUGCAGAGACGAGGGCUGUGGCCUUGGCCCGUGUCGCCUCGUGAGAGCAGAGCAGAGAUUGGACCGGGUGAGCUCGAGCUCCAAGGUGGCUCGCAGCCUCUAACAUCCUGGGGCUCUCUGUGUUCUCCAACUUUGCUUGUUGGAGAGGAGGGGAGCUGGGGAGGGGCGGGAGGAGCCUGGGAAUGGGGCCCUGCCCUCUCUGAGCCGGGAGAUCCCGCCCUGCAGGUCUGCAGGGGGGAGGGGCUGCGGCAACGGCAGCUCCCCCAUCCCCAGCGGAGGCAGGCAGUCCAAGAAGGUAUUUUGGCCAGCGAUUAGGUUGCUUGACGUUGGGCUGGUUUUAUCUGUGUUGUCAGAGGGACGGUGGGGGGAAGAGCGGACGGCUGCGCCGGGGUCCGGGCUGUAGUAUUAUUUUCUGGCCGUGGUGCCCGUUCGUCCCUAUCGCCCGUCUGCACCCUCUGCCCUCUCUGCCGUCUUCUGCUUGCCCUGCCAGCCCCGAAGCCCAGCCCCGUGUAGCCGUUAGGGGUGGUUCGUGACUGACAGCCUCGCGGCCUGGCACAGGGUCAGGGUGGCUGGUGAGCGCCGUAGGUGGCAGGCAACCCCAAAUUGCCAGUGCCCUCCUCGGGAACACCCCUGGCAGAGCCCCGUCUGUAAUCCGUGGAGCCAGAAUGCGCUGGAAGCCGUGUUCCUGGUGAGGGUGCUGCUGCACAGCCGUUUCCUCUGGUUCCCCAGAUUUCUUUAUCACAGCACAGUUCUGUUGACAAAGGUGCACUCAGGGAGACUCCAUUAGGAGGGCCGCCUCGACUCCAGGCCAGGAAACAUGAGAGCGGUUCAGCUUUGCUGAGUGGAAAUCUGACCAGAGGGAAAAAGCCUCCCAGAUGAGGAGCAGCCAUACAGAAAGGAGGGGGUGGGAGAGGACCCCGGGGGCGGGGGCAGUGUCUGCAGGGGGGCUCACAGGCGGAGGCCAGGCCCCCGUGCACCUCCCCCACAGGCGCCCGGACAAGGACCCCUUGUUUAGAUUAGCUUAAUUACCCCACCAAAAUCAACGAACAAGGAUCUUUUUAAACACGGAACUUUCAAAAUGUGCUUGGAGUGGCUUUUUUUUUUCCCUUUAUAAAGGUAUCAAAUGCUAAGCCUUUGUGAAAUAAGGCACUUGGAGCGAACUGGGGGGUUGUGGACCUUUUCACUGCGCGCGAAGGAAGCUUCCCGGCCCUAAAUCAGAAGGAAGCUUGCCAAAAGUCCUGAGUUCACCGGUCUGCACAAUAGCUAUUUUCAACCCGCUGCCGUUGGGGUAGCGGUAACACUGGAAACAUUUAGUGGGGGCCUAAUGGUGUUUAUGAACCUCCUUCCUUGGCAAGUGACUUUUAGAGGAGACAUUUUAAGAAGAUUAAAACGUCCACAGACUUCGAGGGCAACAGCGUAAUCCACUUACUGUUUUCGUGUCACAGAUCGAGUCCGCUUUAAGCUUGGCGUUCCCGCAGUGGCCCUUCCACUGCGGUGCAUGGGCCGAUGUCACUCCCACAGGAGCCGACGGGCAGGCAUUUGAGGGAGAUUGUGGGAAAUGAAAUUGGAGAGGAGGGCUCUUAGGUCGGUUUGGCUAGUUUGGACCCUUGGGUCAGACGGUGGUCACAGGGUCACACAACGAUCAGUGGCAGACUCAGACUCCGUAGGGAACUCCCCCCAGUGAAGGUGGCCGUUGCGCCGGGUUCUUGCCCCUGAGGGCAGACACAGGGGUGGUGCCUCCGCGAGGGCGAGGUGGCUCCCCCGCAGCCGAAGGGAUUUGCAGAGCCUUUUCAAGUUACUCAGCGGGGCUACCUUGCCCGCCCACCUCUGCUUGGCCCAAAGCCCAGGUGAGGGAAGCAUUGUUCGGUCGACCUCGACCGUGUUUUCAUCCUCCCAAACCUGUGGAAGGAUUUUGCUGGCAGAGAGGAAAACUGCAUUCCUGAACCAGUGCCCGAGGGGCGCUUUCCUUAAAAGUACCUCCUAACCUGGGAUUCUGCGGUGUGGCUGCCCCGGAGCGAGUGUUUAGAGUUUGCCAGAGGGCCUCUCCUGGGGUUCUGCCUCUGGAUCCUGGGGCCAUUUGAAUUGACGUGCAACUGAAUUCUUCCCAGUGUAGGGAAAGGAAGAUCUUGAACACAGAAUGCAUAGCAAACCCCUAAAAUCGCUGCUGAAGAGGAGUUGGAACUGCGGCCAGAUGCAGUGGUCACUCGCACAAAUCGAGCCAUCACUCGGUCGUUGCCAGGCCAGAAAACUGGCGCGCUUCUCACUGCCGACCAUUUAGUCCUCGCCCUGGCAAAAUCUGUUUAUCCAGAAGAGUACGAUGUUUGGUUUGAAAUGGGAAGGAAAUAUUUUUCCACCAGUUAUUUUGAGGGGAGGGGCUUUGCCACCUCUACACCGGAGAUGAACUUGUUUCGCCAGAGUUCACUGGACGUAACAAGGGGGGGGCGGUGUGGCGAGCACGUGGCUGCCUAAAUUCUGGGUCUUUCAGCCUUGGGUUGCCUCGUAGCCGAGACCUUCGGAGUUUUUUGUUCAUGCCCUGUAAAAGAACUUUGAUGAAAACUACGGGCACGUUUCUGAGUUGACAUUGAACUUUAUUGCUAAUUUUUUGGAAUUUUGUUUUGAGGGAGAGAGAAUCCCAAGCCGGCUCUGUUCUCUGCCCCGAGCUCUGGCGGCAAAGAGCCCGAUGUGGGGCUCGAACUCAGGAACCGUGAGAUCAUGACCUGAGCCGGUAGCAAGAGUUGGACUCUGAACCUGCUGAGCCACCCAGGCGCCCCAUUAUUGCUGAUUUUAAAUAGCUGAGAAAGAGAACAUUUUUGGAGUACUGUAAAUGUAGACAUUUUAAGUUGCAAUCGUACUGCUCUUGAAAGUAUCCGAUAUGAAAUUCACUAAUGAUUUGAUGACCACGGUCACCUUUUAGAAAACGGAACAGCAGACUGUGAACGGUUGUAAUGCGUACGUGUUCUUUUCCUCUCGAACUUGGAUGUUUGUUCCACUUUCCCUCGUGGAGUUUUAUUCUAAAGUCACAGGCUUUUACACUGGAAAGUCUUACUGAUUGUUCUUCACGCUUGUGACACACAUGUACAUAAAUUGUGGUUUAAAACAUUGCUGUGCUCAGAAGGCUGUUGUUAAGCCCAUCUAGAAGCAGUUUUUCUCAUUGUAAUUACCGAUACAAAACUAACCACAGAAGCAUAAAUGUAUCAUUGAUCUUCAUAAUUACUGAAUGCCCAAAAUGAAAAUACGUUGGAAGGUAUGAUCUGGGUGGGGGUCCAUUUGAAGUGCCUCAGUUAAAAGGAAUUACUGAUCUGCCCUUGGUGCCUGGUACACACCCUUGCUGCUGGAACAUUCCAGGGAGGAGUGACUCCUGCUGGUCCGGGAGGAAGGGAGCGUGUGAAGGCUGGGGCUGCCCCCGCUGGCGAGGGCUCAGGCCAUUCUGGCCCUUCCCUUGGGGACGUUGAGAUCUGUGGACUCAGGCUCCCAAAGGCACCCCACCUGAGAACCCCAAAGGUGCUUAGUGCAUGGAGGGGUAAAGAGCAUCUGCCGCUUCAUUACGUUUCGCUGUUAAGCGCUGAUCCGUGUGUACUUUAAUAUUUAAUUGCAUGUUUUCUGGACUUAUGUGUUAAAGGGCAGAAGAUGAUACAUCUCAUGAACGUGUGUGUUGCAGUCAGCGGCAAUGCAUUUUUAUUUGGUUGGGUUAAAUUUUAAGCUUAAUGGAAUUGUGCCUUGAGUUAAAUUUUAAUUUUCCAGAAAGAUGUGUUAGAAGCAGAAAAGACUGCUUGGCCAGGCCUUGGAUUCCGAAAUGGUUUUUGUCCUGCAGGAAUCCAGUGAGCCUGCCGUGCUGGGCUCCUUUCUGGGAGGAGGGGAAGGGUGGUGUUGACUUGCCUCUAGGAUGAGAGCCCUAGGGGUGGGGAUGAGGCUCCCGGGGUUGCCAAGGAACCUGACCACCUGGGGUUUGCAGAGGUGGGGGGCUCUCCCUGAGAGGCCUGGGCGGACCCAAGGACUUCCUCAGGCUGUUUGAAAGCCCUGGGCUGGAGAUGCUCUCAAAGCAGAAGCAUUCACUAUUGUUAGCCCAGAGACCAAAAAUGCUUUGGAUGGAGAGCUGUAGAACUUUGUAUUAUAAGAUGGUUUUGUGACAUGAAGGGAGUUUCCAAAAACAAGGGGUCUCUGGCUUCAUCCAGCUUUGGGGUUGGCGGGGUGGGGGGGCGGGGGAGAAAGCAAGCCACUUGCCUCGCUCCUUGGAUCUCAGGAAUGUGCGUCCUGAAGUUUUAUCUGUCUCCUGUCCUCGGGCCUGGCUGUUAAGAAUCCAGUUAAGAAUGCUUCCCCACGAGUUUGGAUUUGUAAAUAUUUGGGGACAAGUCCUGUCCUCGGUUUGUGAGGCAGCGCCUUUGUUCUUAGGGAUAAGGUCAGAAAGGAGCUAAUUCCGGAUUGUGUUCUAGGAACCCUGUGGUUUCUGUAAGCAGUGAGGAGUAGUGCUGGGCUAGGCAGCACACCAGACCUGCCCCGGUGGACACAGGGUGGGACAUCCGUCACGGGGACCCUCCACUGAUCUCUCAAGCACAAACCCUUGUUUACACUUUCCUAGCAUUUUGAGCCUUGAGCCUGAAAUCAGGGUUUCGGGCUCGUAAAACAAAGGCUAAACGAAAGAUGUGCGUUGCUGAAGGCCAGAGGUGACCCUGCGUGGGGGGAUUCAGUUCUGGAAACACUGCCUGUCUCCUGGGGCCUGACUCAGAUGCCCGUCUACACCCAGCCAGUCGUGCUGCACAGACUGGAGUCACAGAGGAGCUGCUAGUGGUUCUUCGCAUCGCUUGUGUAAACCCAUUUGCAGGGUAGGCUUGGAGGACGCAGCCCUCUCUCCCCGGCAGGCCCUGCACACCGCCACCCUCUGCUGGACGGAGCCAGAGCUGCCUGGCCCGAUGGCCGAGGUGGCCUCUGCCCUUCAGGGCGCCCAUGCGAACGAAGGAGCUCUGAUUUGGUGUUAGGGGUGGAGUAAGCAGUUGAGGCCGGCUUGAACUUUGCUUUGCCAGCAUGGGCUCGGCAAGCCUAGCGGGACGGGCAAGCCGAAGGGAAGCUUAGGGCUGUUUGAAGUGUGUUUAGCUCAUCCUUGAAUUAUUCAGAUGUCUAAAGUGUUUUUAAUUCUUAAGAGGAUAGGGAGGGGCCCUAUGCCUUUUACUCUGCAGCGGAAAUGUCCUCGAGCCCCACGUUGUUCGGGGUGCAGGGACCAUUAACAUCCAGGGCUGGCCCAUCCCUGGCUUUGUGACCUUGGCCCAGAAGCUACCCACUGCCCUGAGCUUCAGUGUGUAUGUUGUGAUCUGUGGAGCAUAAUGAGUGCUUGUUCCUGGUACUUAACAGGCCCUGAGAAACAUCCAGAAGGCCAAGUCCAACGCAGAACACUCAGCCUCAUUCUCUGUCUGCAAAACCCAGUCGGGGCUGUCUGUCAUUACCUGCAUUUUACAGAGAGGAGAAGGAGGCACAGAGAGGCCAAGUAACUUGCCCGAAGACACACAGUGAGUGGCUGAGCCUGGGGGUGAACCCUGGAACCCACCCACGAGACACGGGGCCCAUAGGUCUCCCGUGCAGCGCCACGAGCCCCAAAGCUGUGGCGCGCCUCCACCCAGAUGAAAAGCGGGGUUUACGGGUGUGUCAGGAGUGUAUGUUUUUGCAGUUUGAGGUGUCUCGUCUUCACUACAGUGUAUGUAAAAUACUGGUCACUUUUCACACAUGAGAUGGUGUUUAACGAUAAUCAAAUGCAAGAUAAAAUCAGGACCGUGUUUUUUUUUUUGGGGGGGGGGGCUUCUUUUUAAAUUUUAUUUAUUUGUUUUUGAGAGAAAGAGAGUGCAGGGGAGGGGCAGAGAGAGGGAGAGAGAGAGAAUCCCAAGCAGGCUCCGCGCUGUCAGCGCGAAGCCCGAUGCAGGGCUUGAACUCACGAACGGUGAGAUCAUGACCUAGCUGAAACCAAGAGUUGGACACUCAACUGACUGAGCCCCCCCAGGCGCCCGGACCGUGUUUGCAAGCGAACUAACCAGGUGAACCGAGAAGAGACCGUGCUUUCCGCACCUGCCGGGAAGAUGCAGGUGAAAGGAAGCACCUGUGCAGGCCGGUCAUCCGUCCUUGGUUAAUUGCUGACCGUUUGAACAACCUCUGCAGAAGUGAGGCUGUGUGUGUGUGUGUGUGUGUGUGUGUGUGUGUGUGUGUGUGUGUGUGUGUGCGCGCGCGCGCCGAUAAGAGUCCCGUGGAUGGUGUCAGUUUAUGGCUGUGAAGUUCAAAUAGGGUUUUGAUUAAAUCUUGUGGGUCUGUGGGAGAGUGGGAGCCAAGUAGAUGUGGGCCGUGUGGUUUCUGCCUGCCUCUGAUACGGUUUUUGAGAAGAGUUUACAACUUUAAUAGGGACUUCCUGCUGGUCCCCUCAGAACCUUGCCCGUCUGGGGAUUUAUUUUGCCCACGUAGUCCUGCCUCGGCUUGGAGCCCUUCACACGGGGACCGGGAUCCCAGGCCUGCCGCCCCACGGCGCCGCCAGCUCCCCGGCCAGAGGGCUUCGCCGUGAGGCUGAGGAAGGUCCUCGCUGCUCGGCGGCAUCCCAGUCCCUUUUGGUGGGAGUCCGGGUGCACUUGGCUUUCAGAACCCAGUCGAGGGGCAGGAAACCGCUAUGAUGUUCCCACUUUCUAAAACACCAAAUGGAUUGUAUGGGGGAGAAUCUGAAGAAGAAUCUGGAUUUCCUAAAGCCAUCGCUCAGCAGGCAUGUUUCCAGUAGAGUGUGGUAAACUUGGGGGGACUCAAAUGAUUAGUUCUGUUGAACUGAGUCCCCGUGAGACCCCAGAGGCACUCUGCUUUGAGUUCUGUCAUGCCUGGGCCUCGGCUGUCCUCCCUGUGCAUUGGUGGAGUCCUUGCAGCCCCAGGGGAUCGCACGGACGUCUGUCUUGGACAGGCACCUGGGACCUGGGAGUGCGCGCCGUGGGCCAGCUUCUGUGCCGCCCAGAGUUCACUUGUGAAUUUUCUUGACUGCUCUGCAUAGAAGCAGUGGUUUCCUUGCUUCACAGAUGAGAAGGCCGAGGCCCAGAGCUCUUUGGGGCCCGCCUGAGAUUCUAGCUGCUGACUGAAUUCUCUGCUGGCAAAUGUACGGGGGACAGUGGGAGACGCAUAAGCGGUUUUAGCCUAGCGGAGAGGUGACAGUUGAAGAAUAAUACGGAGACAAGAGUGAUGAUCUAAGGCCCGUCCAACACGAAAGAUGAUUAUCACCACCCUCAUGCCUGGCUCCUCAGGGAGGGCUUCCUGGAGGUGGAGGCCCUUUUAACUGUCCUAGGAAGAAACAAAGCCUGACUGUUGGGGCCCGAGGCUGUGAAGUGACAGCCGCACUUGGGUCAGGCAGCCAAGGACUGCUGGGAGGGGGUGGGGGCCCUGUGCCAGGGCCGGACUGCGGGGGGCCCCAGGUGCACUGCUGCCUUGUGUGGAGUCCUUGGACUCUUCCAGGAGCCGUUCGGCCUAGAGAGGUGUCCCAGCUCGAUGCCUGGGCCGUGUGCCCUGCGUGGCAUCCGUGCGAGCGCCCUGCUGGCUGUGGCUUGGUCCCUGGCACGAGGAGCUGCCUUUGGUGCUUCCUCCAUCGAGGUACACGCGAUUGCAGAGGGACUGGCUCCUGCCCUGCCCGGCCGCUUUCCGGCCUCCCUGGGGCGAGUUUCUGGGCAGCCCCCCAGGGAGGGCCGGUGGAGCUGCGGCGGCUGGUUGAAGCCGGUGCGGCCCACAGCUUUGUGUGCACCCGCAGGGGCCGCUGACGGGAGCUGGGUGCUCCAGACCAGCCUCUUUGGGACUCCACUGCAAGAUAAGAGGUAGGAGGGGCUCGAAGUGUCCCGCUGAGACUUCCGUCUGCCCAGUGUCCCGUAGUUGGGCACCCAGCCCCCGAUAACAUUUGAACUGAAAGCAGCGCUGUGGGGAGUUAUCUCCCUUUUGAAAAGAGAUCUCCUUGUCUUUAUUGAUGGGAUCAGGGGACUAGCCGCAGGUCACAUAACUGGAAAGCUGUGAGUGACCCUAGGAGUUCUGGUUGUGCCCCCUUGGGCCGUACAGAACAGCUGGUUGCAGGUGAGGAAGCUGAGGCUGGGAGCAGCGAGCUGGCCGGGUCCUGCAGAGAUUGGACCCUGCUGCCCCCACUUGUGACUUUGCUCCUUAAGCUGUGAGCCCCAGGGUCCCUACCCAGAACCAGGUGUGAUGGUCAUGGGUCUGCGCCUUAAGUCGCCGGAGGAGCAGGGCAGCCUGGGAGUGUCCAGAAGCCCCGUGAGCACCCGUACGCCUUCUGUAGCAGGUCCGCGCUCCUUGGCCGAGUUUUCUGAGCACUGCCCCCCACUACCUUCUGGGUCUCCCUUGCACCCCGAUCUGCGGCCUCUGUACCAGUCAGGGCUUCACCCGCGGAUGCCAUUUUGUGGCCCGUUCCUGCUCCCUCCGUGGGAUGCCAGCACCCUAUGCCAGCAGAAGAUAGACCUCUGGAUUUCGUGGAUCCCGAAGGCCAUGUGGAAAGCCAGCGUGGAGCCUGGCAGACCUGGCGAGGUGACCUGGGUCCGUUACCUGCCGCUUCCCGGCUCCCGGCCCUCACCUGUGAACUGAGGCCGCUCGGAGUGCCACAGGAUUAAGGGAGAGGCCUGGGUGUGGGGCGGCCCCUGGGAGAUGCUCAGCUAGGCAUGACCUAGGAGGUGAUUCUCCAGUGCUGCCCGGCCCCGAGGAGCAUCUGGCACCCCGUAGAUUCCCGGAAGCCCUCGGAGCCUUUGAGGCGGGUCCGAACGGGCCCUUCUCCCCACUCUGAUCCGUCCUCUUAUCGUGAGGACUGAGGAGCUCUUAGCCGUGUGCCAGACCUGCAGCCGCUGACCCCUGGCCGUGCACCUCGGUCUCUGAGGCCCGAGUACCCUGCCGGCGGUGGACUUCGUGGCAAGGGCUGGGACCCCAGGGCUGGCCCGUGGGCUCCGGACCCUCCUGCUCCUGGCUGGCAGCGUCCUCCCCGGCCGGCUCUUUGCCACCGGCUGGUCCUAAGCUCUAAACUAUUCCUGCUCACGUCUUUUCGUAGAUUUUCACCCCGGGAAGAUCUUGUCUAGAUCUUUUUUUUUUCUUUUUUCUUUUCCCCAAUUGCAAGGCUUUUAUUCGUGUAGUAUUGAUUCCCACCCUAACUGUGCCCUUCCCCCACACUCUGAGCUGAGCCCCCAUCAGGCUGUCUGCAGGGGGCUUCGGUUUACAUCUUAUACUUGCUAUGGCGGCAUGCAUCUCGCCCGCAUUUUGUGGGCUGUGGUGUAAGUCGACUACCCACCCUGCCGGCUACACAGCGAGUUACUCGUUUGCAUCAAACAGAGCCCACGCUUCCAGUCAGCGUGGGGUUGCCUUUCGAUUCCAUUUUCUUUGCACUGUCCCGGAGUAACUGCACCUCUGGGCGUCUGAAACCCGUUUUGGUGAUUCAUGUGUAGUUUGGGCCCUUCGGCCUACAGGCCUCUCGUCUGGAGUGUCUGGAAUCCGCGUACACAUCCCGUCUUGCCUCCGAGAAACUGUUCCAAGGCCGAUGGCUCUAGUCUUGAUUUUAUGAUGCAUUGAGAAUGAUCUUCUUGAGCCGCUCCUUCGCAAUUACCCGGAGGUGAUAGUGUUAUCAUUGCCAGCUGCUUCCUCCCCCGCGACUGAACGAGCCUGUGUGUCCCCGUCGUCACAGAAGGGUAUUGGCCGCUGUAUCUGUUGUGCCCUUCUGUUUGCAGGAAGCAGAUGGGCAUCGCAAGUAGAGUGAUGAGCGUUAGGGCCGUACAGAGGGGUGGGCAGGGUUAAGGGACACCGGCAAGGGAGGUGACACCCCACCCUGGGCCUGGCCGCAGCUGGGAGCCUUCCCCCCCCCCCCCCCCCCCCCCCAGGCACAGGGGCACCUGCACCCGGGGGCUGCAGGGGAGGUGGUGGCUGUCUGUGGCCAGCCGAUGCUGGCCAGUCAGGGCGGGAGCCCGGGAGGCCAGCGUCUUCACCGCACCUGCCACUGCUCUUCUGCGUGGUCACCGAGGUGGAGCAUGCGUGGAUGCGUGGUCUUCGGCCGCCUGCCAUGGUUCCCUGUUUGGUGGGAGCCGAUGCCUGUGGCUUUAUGGGAAUUUGGGGUCUUUGUAAGGUGGCAGAAGGGAGAAACUGAGUUGCCCAGCAUAGCUGAGAAACCCAGGCUGAGUGGGCUUUGCUGAGUCCAGGGUGCAGCUGUGACCAUCCUGCUACAUGUGACCAUAAAGUGGCCCGUGCCACUUAGUCUGAAAAAGAUUUUUUUUUAGUGUUUAUUUUUGAGAUAGAGAGAGACAGAAUACAAGUGGGGGAGGUGCAGAGAGAGAGGGAGACACAGAACUUGAAGCAGGCUCCAGGCUCGGAGCUAUCAGUGCAGAGCCUGACAAGGGGCUCGAACUCAUGGACUUGCGGACCGUGAGAUCGUGACCUGAGCUGAAGUCAGCUGCUCCGCUGACCGAGCCACCCAGGCGCCCCCUAUGCCGCUUAAUCUUUUCCUGGGGUUGCUGGUUUCCCGUUGUCUGCCGGGUGGCCUUGAAGCAGCUUGAGGGCAGUCUGGACUGCAUCGGUCCUGUGCACCGUGGGAGCACGGUGAGCGGCCGUGAGGGAGGAGGGCCUUGGUUAGAUGGGGUGUCUGUGCAGCUAGCUUUAGAGCCAGACACGGUAGAAGGGGCACCGCUGCACUCUGGACCCGAAGGAGAGAGGUGAUACCCGGACCCGUUGUCUAAAUGCAACGUGCAGGUCAGAGUAAGGUUUUAUCUGGAGCCUGGCUUGUGUUUUGGUUAUGAAACGUGAGAGCAGUGUUUUGCCGACCUGUUUUUUCUUGCUCAGUGUUUCCCCGGCUCUGUCUGUCCUGGGUUACUUUUGAAAAUGAAUGAGCUAACACCAUAUACAGGAGGUUCAAAACAAGCUCAUUAUCACCCUAGCGAGCCAAGUGAGUAACAUUUAUUUAGGACUCGACUUCAGACAGCACGGCCUGCUUGACAGAGGGACGGUCCCCUUACUUGUUCAUACUUGGAUCCCUUCUUUGAGGACCAGUUCUAGAAACUGUGUGGUUUGAUCUUUACUUUCUGAUGUCACCGAAUGUGUGGUGAGCUCUGGGAAAUUGUCUGGACUGGGCCCUUAUAGUUUUCCCUAAAUUUAGAAUUCAUCUUUCUAGUUUUGUUUUUAUCUGUCCUUUACCCCCUCCCUCCACCCCCGCCCCGUAUGAACCUAAACUGUUCAGUUAAUUCUAAAGGAAACUCUAAAGGGGAAGGCUGACUUUAAAAAUUACGGUAAGUAGGGGCGCCUGGGUGGUCUCAGCUGAGCGUGUAACGCUUGAUCUCGGCUCAGGUUGCGAUCCCAGGGUUGAGUUGACCUCUGUGCUGAAUGUGAAGCUUGCUUAAGAUUCCGUGUCUCUCUAUUCCUCUGCCCCUCACCUGCUUGCCUGUGUACUCUAAAAUAAAAAAAUAGGGGCGCCUGGGUGGCUCCAUCGGUUAAGUGUCCGACUUCAGCUCAGGUCACGGUCUCGCGGUUCAUGGGUUUGAGCCGCCCGUCGGGCUCUAUGCUGACCGCUCAGAGCCUGGAGGCUGCCUCAGAUUCUGUGUCUCCCUCUCUCUCUGCCCCUCCCCCGCUGGGGGGGUGCGCUCGCUUGCGUGCUCUCUCUCUCAAAAAUGAAUAUAAAAAUUAAAAAAUAAAAAUUAUGAAAAGCUGAUACACUCUGUCACAACAAAAAUCUCUUUAACCCGCCAUGUGACCAUGGUUACUUCCCUCGCUCCCCAUUGCUAACUGGGGUAGUGCUCCACCCUUUUGGGGUCAUGAGUUCCUUUGAAAAUCGGGUGGAAAGACAGCAUUUUGUAUAUACUUUAGGGAUCUCCUAACACCCAUCCAUGAUGAUCCUUGUCAGCACCCCCGUCUCUGGGCCUCAGCUAAGGAAGCCCUGUUUGGAGCCGAGGCUGCCUGGGCUGUGUGGAGUCCCGAGAGCGGGCUGCGUGGCCGGCAGUCAGCCUGAGACUCUGCCUUUGGAGGCUCCAGAACUGGGCAGAUGGCUCCGGCUGGCCGUGGGCUGGUCUCUCCCGGAGGGGUGUAGAGAGCAGCCCCGAGGGUGGUGGCUUGUCGUGUUUCCUCGUUGUGACCCAGACGAGCGGUGCCUGCGGACCCGGGCGUCUGUCUCAGGCACCAGUGAGUCUGGGAACCUGAUGGCAUUCUGCCGUCCGGAGUGGCGGCUGGAGUCUGUUGCGAUGGUGACAGUGGGAUGCUCCAGUUUACUUCGUGGGGAGAUGUAGGGUAGUUAAAAUUAGCAGUGAGGGUCGAGUCAAGGUUUUCCGGAAGAGUUCAGCAGUGUCACGUGGAGAUCGGACUUGGCAGUGGCUGGCCGGGAUUCCUGCCCCUGGGCCAAGCCCAGGGGGAAGGGUCAGGCCGGCCUGCGGCCUGUGCCACCUGCAGAGGGCCCGCCGGGCUGGACCGGGGUCUGCACUUGUAGUUCAUCCCCGGCCAGACGUACGCCCUGGGGUGGACAGUGCUCUGGACUCCAGAGUAUGUAUCCGUUGGACAGGGUGUGCUAUUAUGUCACGAUGUGGUACGUACCUCACGUACCUGUUACGGUAAAGCGGUCGGGUCGUAAUAGGUGUUCUUCGUUCAGCGGUGUAUGCGAUAGACCCAAGCACAAGGUCUGCUGCAUGUAGUAAGUUGUGUACUAUAAGGUGACGGCAUGAUACGUGUAACACUUACUUAAAGUUCCCUCGGAGGGACUUGUAGCCGUCUGGGUUCACGUUCUCCACUGGCUCGUUUUCGCUGACCCGAGGAGCAAUGUUUCCUAGGGAAACUGUGAUCGAGAGUCUGAAGCCACAGCGCCAGGAGAUCUCUGGACCCUUCUUGGUGCCUUGGGCCCGCCUGGCCGAGAAGGUGCUUGGCUGCCUCCUGGUUCACGGGAGCUGGGGGGUCGGCAAGGGGCCUGGUUUGCCCUGACUCUUGCCCAGCUGCCUGUUUUCUCUGCAGAGGCCACAGCCCCCCCGGGGAUCCCGCAGGGCUCUCUGGCACGUGGCCACUUGGUUCCCCCGGAGCCGGGACCGGUGGGGGCGGCCGGCUGCUUGGCAGAACAGCCCAGAUCUUCUUCUCUUUUUGAUGUUUAUUUAUUUUGAGAGGGAGGGCGCACACCUGUGCAAGCAGGGGAGGGGCAGAGAGGGAGGGAGAGAGAGAAUUCCAAGCAGGCCCCCCGCUGUCAGUGCAGAGCCCACGCGGGGCCUCAGCCCACGAACCAUAAGAUCGGGACCUGAGCCGAGAUCGAGAGUCAGACACCCCCACCGACUGAGCCACCCAGGCGCCCCGAGCCCAUCUCUUCUAAGCUGGGAAAUGUCCAGAGUCCCAUCCGUUUAUAAAAGCGCCUCUCCGUACUCUUCAAAUGAAGAGAAUGUGGCUUUAGUAUACGAAGAGUUACUGGUGAUAUUCAGCAAUCUCUUAACCCGCCUGCAGCCCUGAAGAUUAGAAUCCGGUCUGAGUGGGAGGCCGUGAGGCACAUAUCAUCUGUGUAACUCUACACGUUUCUCUAGGGGUCGUCUGUCGUGUGUGGAAAGUGAAGUAAAGGCCUGUCUUAUUUAUAUUUUAUGUCUUUGCUGGGUUUUUUUUUUAAAUGUGUUUUUAUUUAAUUUUUGAGAGGGAGACACAGUGUAAGCAGGGGAGGGGCCGAGAGAGGAGGAGACAGAGUCCGAAGCAGGCUCCAGGCUCUGAGCUGUCAGUGCAGAGCCCGACGCGGGGCUUGAACCCACGAACCCUGAGAUCAUGAUCUGAGCCGAAGUCGGACACCCAACCGACUGAGUCACCCAGGCGCCUGUACGUCUUUGCAUUUUUAUUUUAUUUUAUUUUAUUUUAUUUUAUUUUAUUUAAAAAAAAAUUUUUUUUUUCAACGUUUUUAUUUAUUUUUAGGACAGAGAGAGACAGAGCAUGAACGGGGGAGGGGCAGAGAGAGAGAGGGAGACACAGAAUCGGAAACAGGCUCCAGGCUCCGAGCCAUCAGCCCAGAGCCUGACGCGGGGCUCGAACUCACGGACCGCGAGAUCGUGACCCGGCUGAAGUCGGACGCUUAACCGACUGCGCCACCCAGGCGCCCCCGUCUUUGCAUUUUUAAAAGUAAUCUCUAUACCCGGUGUGGGGCUUGAACUCACCACCCUGAGAUCAAGAGUCGCAUUCUCUGCUGAGCUAGCCAGGCGCCCCAGUAAAAGACUGUUUCAAAGCAGGGAUUUUAAUCAGGCUAGGUUUUAGUUUCUUUGGUUAAAAGAGACAAGCGCAGCCCUCUGUGGAGCCACGGGUCCCACGUGCAGCCGCUCUGCCCCUUUUCCCACGUGGGCACGCGCUCCUAGCCUGGGACGGCCCAUCACCGCCAGCUUCUCCAGGUUACGGCCGAGGGUCUGUCCAGCUGCCUGCCUGCCAGCUUUGUUUGGACAAGGAGGGUUCCCUUCAGAAAUCAAGACCAGAAUGGCGCUCUUGUGUCUCCUCUGGUCCCCACCGCUUUUCCCAGCCUAGCAGUGACCUUGCCCUGGGCUGAAGCGGCCGUGGCCGGGCUGCUGCCCCACAUCCGCUGUGUCCUUCCUGCCCCCCCCGCCCAGUGCUGCAUCUUCUGGGCACCAGACUUGGUGGCUGCAGCUCCCUCACCUGUAAAUUGGGGCUAAUGAUAGGAGUCCCUGUGUCGGCCUGUCACGAGGGUUCAGGAAGUACAUGUCUGUGUGGCCGCUGGGGUCGGAACUGGCUGGUAGGAAGGACUUGGAGUUGGAGCUGGUUUUAUCCUUGUCCUAUACGAAACAGUUGCUGAUGGCAGUGUCUGCAGAGAGACUUGGAAGUCCCCAAGAGAGAGGGGGUGGGAUCCAGCAGGGGAAGUUGGAAUUCCGGAGGUGGUCCGCUCCUGUGUGGAGGGGUAGGGCCAGGCCGAGCAGGGGCGGGGGGAGGGCACCCGGGGCUCGUCCUGGCAGGUGCAGGAUGGUCAGAGGGGUUGGGGACAGAAUGAGAGCAGGAGGUUCCGGUGGCCGCGGUCUCUGCUUGUUGUUGGUCCCUCGUGUGCGUGAGCUGGGCCGGGCCCCUUGUGCGGUGGGGGCGCUAGCCUGGGGUGAGGGGCUUGCCUGGGAGAGGAAGUCAGGAUCCGGCCGGGAGAGUUGGGAUUCUGGGGAGGGGGGCGGCCGGGAUGGUGGUCAAGAGGCGCUGCUGAGGCCGCCCGGGCUUAGUAGCCGUGGUGUGAGCCACGUGUAGGCAGGAGGGGGUGAGAGAAACUUGGGGGAGUUAGGGCCUCGUGCCCUGUGCCCAGGGAGGCCUGCGGGCGCCUGGCUGCUGGUGCCGUAGCUGCUGGAGAUGCUGGCCGUGCCGUCUGCUCGCCGGUCUGAACACCAGGGUGCCAGACGCCCCCGGCUGAGUGGCCUUUGGCCCGGCGUGGACACCUGUGGCACCUGUGGCACGUGCACCUGUGGCAGCCCUUGAGGGGGGUGGUGGGCAAAAGGGGCACGGUGGCCCUUUCUGGCCUACAUGCUUUUGUUACUAGACUCACCAGAUGCCCGAGAGGACAACCUCUUUCAACAAAUCCCAUCAGGAACUUUCAUAUUUGUAGCUAACCGCCUUUAACUGGCUGAUCAACCCGCUAGGCCAGAAAGGCCAGCCUAGCCGUGGGAACCUUCCUUGGAAGGAAUUUGGAAAUCCACAUGUGCCGUGAAGUGUUAAUGAGGGGGUGUCAAAGGACCCCGGGGGGGGGGGGGGGGGGGGGGAGUGUGGGGAAGGCAGCGGCCCGCUCUCCCUGCCCCGUGUGUAGGUGUAGGUUGUUGCCUUGGGAAAACACCUCCGUGCCUCCAGGUGACCUCACCUCUCAGGCAGUCAGGGCCGCUGAGUCACGAUGCUGUAAAUCAUAUCCGCAAGGAAAGGUUUGUUAGCUGUGGUUAUGUCUUCUCCCUGUUAAAAUUAGUCUUGAAGACAGAGUGAGGUGUGUUGAGUUUAUAGCCUGUCUAUUACAGGCUUCCUGCCGGCCCUGCAGGCCUCGCUCCUGCGAUGAUACCGCCCUUGGUGCACGGUUUUAAAUUGUAGGAUCGCAGCUCGUGGAAGCGGAAGAGAAGGGACAGGUGCUUGGCUCGUGCCUUGCCGCUGGGCUCAUGGCCUUGGAGAGGUGAGUGACCCUCCCGGGGUCACGCAGUGGCCUUGGGGUCAUGCUCUUUUAAAUGUGCCCUGAUGGGGAAACGCUUGCUUUGGAACUGUAACUGUUACUCUGAUGAUGCUCGCCUGAUUCUGGAGAAGACUUAAGGUGGCUUAAGUAGGGAGUGUGUUGAAGAGGCACCUUUGAAGGUACAAGAAAGAUACACGUGCAGGUUUGCAAGCUUCCCUCGCUCUGCUUGGUCUGUUUCCAGCAGGUGCGCCGCAGGGCCGCCUCUCAGACCGUGUCUUUCCUGGGCUGCAGAGGCCAGGCCUCCGUAAGGGAUGGCCGAUGGGCAUAAACCACUGCCCUUCCUCCUUUUGUGGUCCCAAGUCCCCUAUUUCUAGAGGGAUCAGUGAGCUCCAACCCCUACCUCCUUGGGAGCUGGGUGGGGCCACAGGAAGAGAUGUUGGGGUCCCGGUGCAGGGGCUCCCCACAAGCUGGAGUUGCGCCUGUCUUUGAGGCACCUCUCGCCCAGGAAGGGGGAGGAUCUCCUUGGACUCCCCAGCGAGUAGCGGCCCACCCAAGCCAGUGCGUCUGCGUCCCCGUGCCAGGUACAUAGUCACCGUGGAAUCCCGGGGCACUGGCCUGAGUGACCCCCAGUGCCCUCCCUCCAUGGGACCCUCCCUCCAUGGGACCCUCCCCUCCUGCUGACGCCUUGGUGUUUUCCUAAGCAGCAGUGUCGUUCUUCUUCCUCAAGAUGCCCAGCUUGAGGACUGAUGUCCAAGGGUGGUUCCAGAAGCGUCAAGGGUACUGCAUCUGGGAUCGUUGCUAAAACUCAUUAUUUGGCGUCUUUACAGACUCUCUGCAGAGAGACUAAAAUCUCGCGUUUGCAAACAUCCUGGGCCUGCAAAGCUGCUCGGUUCGGGGUGGGCCCCAGGAAGUGUGUACAAAUGCAUGCGCGUAGCUGCUCCUUCCUCUGCUGUCUCGGAGUUCCGGGGCAGCCUCUGUCGUGGGCUUUCCGUGGCGCAUUCCGUUUCUGCCUCCAUCUGGUCUCGUUGGUCCUCGUUUCCUGGGGCAACACUGGUUCGGAGGUUGAAGGGACGGUGUCACUGGGGAGGAAAGCGGGGGGGGGGGGGGGGGGGUGGGGGGGGGGGGGGGGGGGGGGGGGGGGGGGGGGGGGCUGCCUCGUUCCAGCGCAGGCAAGGGCUGGCUGCGGCCAGAGGCGGGAGCUCUGUGCUCAGGAUGAGAGGGAGGCCUUUGAGGUGCGGUGACCGAGGACGGCCUGCAAAGAUGAUGAGGGUGGGUCCUUGUUCAGCGGCUGCCCUGACAGAGGACCUCAGGCUGAGGACCACCUGAGGCAGGCAGGGGCCGAUGGCCCCUUCGCACUGACUGGCCCAUGCUGGGCGCCGUCCUGCGAUGGGGAGAGAAGCCCCCUUUGGAGCCGGCAGACCCCGAGCCCCACUUUCAGCCCACUUCUGGGUCUGCGCAGGCCUUUGCGGGUCACGCGUUGUCUCUGGUUAGCCUUGCUGGGCUGCGGGGGCUGGGGUGGACACGUGGGACAGACACUCAAUGGCUGGUUAUUUUCUCCCACGUGAGGCCGCAGUGGGGACAGAGUAGAGUCCCUGGGGGAGGGGAGGGGUUAGCACCCAGGAGGACCCCCCCCAGAGGCAGGGAGAAGCGGCCAGUGUCCCGCCUUCUUUGUAGAAUUUGGACAAACAUGGGCCCACUUGGUGUAUUGGAUUAGGCUUUUAUCCCCCAGGAGAGUAACCAAGUAAACAGAAUAGAGUUUCUUUGGGCCACUGGCCAAAUGAGAAAUAUUUUGGAUCUGGUGACCUUUUUCUUUGGGUCACUAUUCUCUGUAGGAGGUUUUGACCCGUAUUGCAUUUCGGAAUAGGAAGAACGGCUUAUUUUUCGGAGUGGCAAAUAAGGAAAAGAAUGAAAGUCUCUCAGAGUCUCUGCUUGCAGAGGCUCCCCUGGGAGGAACAUUUUUAUAGACACCAGACGUCCUCUCUGGCUCGGGCCAACUUUCCAUCCUGAUGGCGGGGGCGUGCCAUGAGCCGGCCCCUCUCUCCUGAGCCGGCCAGCCAGCCUGCGGAGCCAGCCGGCACGAGCUGGGCUGACGCCCGCGGAGCCACGGCCCCUCUUCCCGCGGCUGAAGCGCCACCCGCCCCCUGGUCCCAGGGUCCCAGACCCUGCCUGUGCAGCGUCUUCCCCUGUGGUCGUGGGCUCCCUUCGGGGACUCUUCCUUCAUAGAUCACAGAGCUCUGUAUUCUCACAGUGAGUUGUGGCAGGGCACNNNNNNNNNNNNNNNNNNNNNNNNNNNNNNNNNNNNNNNNNNNNNNNNNNNNNNNNNNNNNNNNNNNNNNNNNNNNNNNNNNNNNNNNNNNNNNNNNNNNNNNNNNNNNNNNNNNNNNNNNNNNNNNNNNNNNNNNNNNNNNNNNNNNNNNNNNNNNNNNNNNNNNNNNNNNNNNNNNNNNNNNNNNNNNNNNNNNNNNNNNNNNNNNNNNNNNNNNNNNNNNNNNNNNNNNNNNNNNNNNNNNNNNNNNNNNNNNNNNNNNNNNNNNNNNNNNNNNNNNNNNNNNNNNNNNNNNNNNNNNNNNNNNNNNNNNNNNNNNNNNNNNNNNNNNNNNNNNNNNNNNNNNNNNNNNNNNNNNNNNNNNNNNNNNNNNNNNNNNNNNNNNNNNNNNNNNNNNNNNNNNNNNNNNNNNNNNNNNNNNNNNNNNNNNNNNNNNNNNNNNNNNNNNNNNNNNNNNNNNNNNNNNNNNNNNNNNNNNNNNNNNNNNNNNNNNNNNNNNNNNNNNNNNNNNNNNNNNNNNNNNNNNNNUCUCUCUUUCUCUCUCUCUCUCUCUCUCUCUCUCUCUCUCCCUCUCCCUCUCCCUCUCCCUCUCCCUCUCUCCCUCCCUCCCUCCCUCCCUCCCUCUCCCCUGCCCGUGGGUAGCUGACUGCUUACCGCCUGCAGCCGCUCGGGUGCCCUCGGUGUGGUGGGCCCCCGGCACUGCCCUAACAGUGCAGGCCGAGCUGGGCUGACGUCGACUCCUGGAAUGUCUGCAGAAGCUGAGAUGUUCUGGGCUGCAGCACCAAGAGCCUCCUCGUUUGUCCUCCACCCUGCUUUCCUCUCCUGCCCGUCCCAGGGCACUGGGUGGGAAGCUGUAGAUGGGCCCAGAACUCUCAGGCCGGGAGGGAAUCUUGCCGUGCUGUUAAAUAAAUACCUGGCUGCUUGCAGGCAGGCUGCUGCUGGCUUCCCCAGGGUGAGAAGAGCUAAGUGCCCCCAGCUGCUCCCAGCACAUAUGCCCUUUGUCCCAGCACACACGCCCUUUGGUAUCCUUGGGGUGUCUCAGCUUGACUCCUCCCUGACAGGCUCUGCACAGGCCCAAGACGUGGGGUGUCCUUUGGUGAUGAGUUUGUGGCAUAGGAGUGGCAGCGGCUUCUGACGAGUUUUGAUUGACAGACAUCCCAGGGGUGUUUGGGGUGGUUCAUUGAUCGGUGCUUCCCUACAGCUGUGCCCUUGGCCGGGAAACGCCUGCUGGCCGCCUGGCAUGGGUGUGGGGCAGAAGCGGGCUGGCAGAUCUGUGGGUACUGCCCAUGCUAGGCCCUGCCUUGCCGGACAGCAGACCCCGUCCUGCCACCUGUAGUUCCCGUCACAUCCAGCUUGUCCCCUUCCAUACACCCAGAUGAGAAGUAACCUCGGGGCUUCCGGAGGAAAGGAAGCACGGUCCGGCCUCCAGAUCUGUGGCUGCUUAUUCGGACAUCAGGGGAGCACAGCACAGUUGUCCCAGGCUUCAGAGGCUUUGUCCCCUGCAGAGGGAGCGAGCCUGACGUGGAGGGAGGCUGUGGUCUGUAGCCAGGGCCUCAGACUGACGAGGAUGAGGACGAUGAGGACGAGGACAAGGGACCGGCCUGGGUUACUGUGCUGGAGCACAGCAAGGUAGCAGGAGGGGCCGGGCUGGCCACAGGAUGUCUGGCCAUCUGCGUGCUGGGGACACAGGAGCAGCAAGGAGCACCGAGGGGUGGAAACCAACUCAGGAGGGUGCCUCCUGCGGGGCUGGACUCCAGGUGGGGGCAGGGGCAGCCUGGAGAGAGGGGCCCGCAGGUAAAAGGGGAGUGCUGUCACCUGCCAGCGAGCUCACACAUGCAGCGGGCUCGCAGGUUCCUCUGCUAAUGGUGGGCGAGCACCAGACUCGUCCUUCACAGCAGCUCAGGACACGUGGCCCGUUUUCAAGAACUUUGAGCAGUGGGGCAGGACCCUCUCGGAGGGUCUUACCAGCCCUGCCGCCCUCUGACCUGCAGCCUGCUACAUUUUGGGAUGCUUGCCCGGUUUCCAAAGGAGUUUCGCUUCUGCUCUCUCCUUUGCUCCUUGAAGCCUCCCCACUGCCGGCCCAGGUCACAUCAAAGCUCCAGCCCCUCCCUUUGCGCUGGCGGACCGGCCCCCUCCUUGAGCGCCUGGCCCUGCUGCCCUGUGUCUGCUGCAGACCUCCUGGACUGCACCUGUCCGCUCCCAGGCUCACCCACCCCUGGGAUGUACUGGCCCCUUGAGGGUGUCUCCCUGGGCGGACCCCUGCAGGGGCAGGUUCUGCCGGCAGAAAGCGCCCAGCACACGCACGGCACUGUCCGUGGUGGAGUGAGCCAACUGUCCUGCUCCCGCCGAAAAUCCAGUCUGAGCCUCUGUGCUUGGGCAGGUCUAGGCUUGCCUGCGGCCCUCCAUUGUCACGUGGGCCUCUGCUCUGACACCCUGGGUGAGAGGGUGGCAGGGAAGGAAGCCUCACCGGCUGUGCCUUAAGGUGACCUCUUCUCUCCACCCUCCUCUCCCCUCCCCUGUCUUUAGGUGCCUUAACGGGAGAGACCCUGCCCUAGACCAGAGGCGGUUUCUUUGUGCCCGUGGUUGUCCGUCCACUCCCCAGGUGGCCCGGAGGGGGCAACCCUGGUGACUUAGCCACCCUCAGUCCUCAGUGGUCAGCGUUCUAGUGCUGGGGAAGGUCCCGUGCAAAGGGGUCCGUGGGAGUCUAGGACCAACGCAGGUAUACCUUCCUUUACGGCGAAAUCACAGGGUGUGCUGAACCACUUAUUAACCUAAAUUUUUGUUUUUCCAAAAAAGAAUUUUUCCUUUUUAGUGACAACUUUUACCUAGAGUCGUCAUGAAACCAAUGGUAUUGUCAGUAUUGGAUUACUCUUUUAUUCUUCUGGCCUUUCGAAGCAAGAUCAGACCAUGUUCAGUAACUUAAAUUUUGUUAGAUUGUUCUCUGUUCAUUUUGUUUUUCUCUUUUAGGGCUCCGUACCUGAGUACUGUGUGAUGUAGUUGAACAGAGGGCUUGGUUCACCCAGGGAGUUUUCAACGCUUACCCACGUGUAAGGAGAAGCAGCCGCUGUUGUAGCGUGAGGGUUUGGGGCGGUGACCGCAGCAUCCUUUAGCGAGAGGCUGCAGGGUUUGGGCUCCGCGGUGCUCCUCGGCGGUACCUGGUCCUCCACACGGUCUGGGCGUGUUGUUCCCAUUUGCGGAGCAGGAGAUGAUGGCUGAGCGUCCGAGUCUCUGCAGUCAUGAGAGCCUGCGAUAGCGAUCCAGGCCGUGCGGCCUGUUUCUGGGCACCGCCGUCUGCAGUCCUGGAAGGAAGCAUAGCUUGUUUCGAGUGCAUUCCAAGGUAACUCGUGCCUGAGAGGACGUUCAGCACGCCGCUUUGUUUGAGAAGGAGCGUGAGGAGAUCAGGGCUGGCCUUGGACGAUUAAGGGGGUGGGAGUCAAGGUCCCUGGACCACGUCUUGCGGGGCCUGUGCUGGGGGAGGCUGCGCUCCACAGGCGCUCAGGUCCCCUCGCCGCCUGGCUGGGCCCGGCCCUGCUCCGGGCUCUCUCCCCGAGCCGGUCCCUUGCUGGGGGACUCGUGUGUCACCUGCGCCAGGGCUGGCUCUGUUCUGAGUCUGCUUCCAGUUCCUGUUGAGUUGCAAGCUACUGUGUUAAACAUAAAAAGCGCCCCGCAGGUGAAGUGAAGGGUACGUGACAUCUGGAGCCGGUCAGGGAACUGGCAGCACAGACAGGGCACACGCCCACCCAGCCUGGCCUUGGGGGCCGGCCACCUCCGGCCGCGGCCGCUUCCUUUCCCCUUCUGCACUUGCCGGCCCGGGCUGUUUAACUGUCUCUCAGGAAAUUCAGUUUAAAUCAGAUUUCACCUAUGAUGCUCCCUGUUCUUUUCCACCCCAACGAUUAUCUUAAAAUCUCUCCUUUUAAUUAACUCAAUUUUCCAGGUCUUUCUGGACGCCGGGUGGUUUAUUUGUUGAGUGCCUGGCGCUGUGCCCCCGAUCGGGAGAUGGGAGAGCCUGCCCUCCUGUGCUGGGCAGCCCCGGGCCGGGUGGGGAGCCAGGGGGCCCGGCAGCCCAGCCUCCGGCCAGGGCAGGAGCCCGGGCCACCUCCUGUUCGCGGGGGGGCCUGGGCCGCUUGCUACCCUCCGGCUGAAGCCGCUCCCUUUCUUCUGUUUAGAACUGCUUCUUUGGCAGCUUUCGCUUCUCCUGUAGGCAAGUCUCGAGCUAAUAUUUAUCCCGCAAAGUAUCUUAAAAAUGCUGGAGGGCCAGUAUUUGUGGAGAACUUUAUCAAUCUUUGAAAGAGAGUUAUUGUUACGUUGAUAAACUGAGGCGCAGUUUACAAUAGCCAGAUUGUGUUUGAACUUGCAACCUUUAAUUCAACAGUUAGUUUUUGUUAACAGAUGGAAUUGUUUUGGCUCUUCUUGUAAAGAGGUCCUUUAUCCAUGUGGUUUUUGUUUGUUGCUGGCGAGCAUUUGGCAUGUGCUGGGGGGAGGGGAGAGCGGGCCGCUGAGUGUGUGUCUGAUGCCCAUGUUAUGAUUGGCAGGCUUUUCAGGAACGUAGACUUUUGUACCUGAAGCCCUACCUCUUAAUGAAUUGUCUCAUUAAAACCGGAGGUGCCUCCUUCCAGAGGGAAAACUGGCCUCACCGUGAAAACAAACUUAACGUAGCAAGAACACGGGGUGGGUGGUAUUGUUUAGAUCUGAAGGAAAACAACACCGAUAGUGAACGUAUUCCUCAAGAAAUAAAGUAAAACCUUUCCUGAGGGGGUUACUUUUCAGUAAAAGGAGCCACUUCCUGGAUCUUGUCCGGAACCGUUCUCCUCCACCUGACAGCCCUCCUUGAUUCUCAAGCGAGUGAGUGAGAUGCCUCCUGCUGGGGUGGGGGGCGGAGGGCCCUGGGCGCGGUGCUGGUGCUAGGCGUGUCCGUGUCGGGGAGCAGUGGAAUGUCACAGUAAUUCAGGCGUGGCAGGUGGGGGCUGGCCAGAACUGGACACGGAGGCUCUCUCCCUGGGGCUGGGGCCCCUAGGUGAUGAAACGUGCAGUGGGUGCCUAGCAAAGAGGUCACGGUGGCACCUGCCUGAACACAGGCUCCCAGCAAGGCCCGGGGCCUGGCUCUUGGUGCUUGUGUUUGUGCCCCGUGGGGAACCUCAGGGACCCAGCACUUCCUCCUCGGUCAGCUGACUCACUCUGUCCUGCUGACUUGCUGUUCCUUCUCUGUCUCCACCUCUCUGUCUCUGUGUGUGCGCGGGUCUCUGUCUCUCUCGCUGCCUCCCUCCCUCCCUCCCUCCCUCCCUCCUGACUCUGAGCUGGGGCGGAUGUGUGGCCAGGGCUCUGGGUUGUUGGUGGCUGCGGCAGUGCUGGGGGGCCCUGUGUCCCGUGACUUCCCGCUGUCCCCACACGGCUGCACGGGGCUUCGUUCCUGUCUGUGCCCCCGUGUCCUGUAGCUGUCAGAGUCCAUGUUGAAAAGAUUGGGGUCGGUCGGAUUGUUUGGGGAACCUGAGUUCCCCCGGUGGCAGAAACCCCACUUCCUUGCUAAUAGGACUUUCUUCUAGAGAAGUUCCUCAUAAUACGUUACUUGCUUUUUUUUUUUUAAAGUUUAGUUUGAGAGACAGGGAGAGAAUCCCAAGCAGGCUCCCAGCUCUGUCAGCACGGAGCCCUAUGUGGGGCUCGAUCCCACAAAUUGUGACAUCAUGACCUGAGCCAAACUCUAGUGUCAGACCCUUCACUGGCUGAGCCACCCAGGCGCCCCAUGUUUGUCAUUUGCUUUUAUUUUGGUAAAAUAUACCUAACAAAAUCCACCAGUAAGCGCACGUUCACAGCUGAGAAACUCACCAUCACCACCGUCCACGUCCGCGGCUUCAUCUUCCCAAAGGGGGACUCUGUCCUUCCGUCUGCAAACUCAUCCUAGGCAGUAAGGUCCUUACUAAGCAGUAAGGUUAGUGCUGCGCGGUCCUGUGUUGAGCCCCUGUUGCCGUCCGGUACGAGGGCUGUCGGGAUGGAAGCACUCAGGCCGGCCUGCGGGACGUGGGGUACGUGCAGGGAGCACACCCCAGGUGGGAAGGGCAGUGUUGAGGGCGUGAAUUGCCAUUUGUCUCCAGCACGUGCCAAGUCUAACCUGCUUAUUAGCACGCGGGUCUGUGAUGGCACAUUCAGCUCCUGCUGUCGGCUGAGUUCACGUAAAGGAAACAUCACACGUGGGUCUGAGAACCCACUGUGCUCAGGGUGGCUUACUUGUAAGGACGCUCCUGCUUUUAAAGACUGGUGCUUCAGUUUCAUUAACUGUUUUAAGAUUCCCAUGGUAGAUAUGUUUUUAUUAAGGUGAUCUUUACACCCAAUGUGAGGCUCGAAUUCGCAACCCCGAGAUCAAGAGUCACGCGCUCUGCUGUCUGAGCCAGCCAGGCGCCCCUAGUUUCCUAGUUUCACGAACCUCUGGCCAGCUUUAGUGGGGGGAAGGCGGUGGUGGUUCUGUGCCUUUGUGGUCUCACCUGUGGCAUCCUGGUACUUCAUCCCAGUCAUUACCUGACUUGUGCCAGCAUUAGACGGAGCUUGCCUGUUUUCUAGAAUGGCGCGAGGGACGGCUGCGGGCCACCUGUGGCUUGCCGUGCGCGGAUUCGCCCCGUCUGGUGUAGGGGAAGGUGGCAUACGGGCUUCUAGAGCUCGCGCUAGGCCUGCUUUUCUCCACUGGCGCUCACCUGGAUUGCAGGCGUCUGGGGAAUCUGGGCUUCCCUCUAGCUCAGAGAGGCCCAGGCUCGUUCCCAGUGUUGUGUUUUUGGCCGUGUUCUCCGCACUGGCUGGAGGCAGCCUUCUGCUGGCUCACAGAGGGAAAUCCAAUCCCGGAGGGCAGGGGCGAGAGGCCCGGGGAACGUCAGCACCCACAGAUUAACGAGUGGGAAAGGUGCCUGUCGGUGUUUUCAGCUGAAAGACUCCAAUGGGGCCUUCGGUCCGGGGAGCCCAGGGCCAUCUGGGGUUUCAGGCAGGGAAAGCUGCUGUACAUCACCUGGACAAGAUUAGAAUUUCUUAAUCCCACGUGGGCCUCUUUCAGACCUCGUACAGGGCUGCUUUGUCUUGUCUCUUACCCUGCAGACAAGAGGAAAGAGCGCUUGACUCCCUUCUCCUUGACGGGCACAGGGUCUGGUCGUUGAGGCUGAGCCGGGAGUCCUCUUAAGUGCAGUGCACUGUGGGAGAAUCUGCGAACAGGGCGGGUGGCUCCGUUAGGGUGGAUGCCUGCCUUAGCCCAGCGGGGAGAGAGCUAAGUCCAGCGGAGUGAGUGUGCGUUACAGGGAGGGGUGGAAGGAGGUGCCGUGGACAGGAAAGCUGUGCGAUUGUGUUUGGGAACGGGAGGGGGCGGGUGGAUGGCUAGCGAAGAGUGAGCCAGGGGUACCGUCAACGACUAGCCUGCCCACACCAGCACAUGUGGGAGGGGCCUGGUGCUUGCCCGGGUGGGGCACAGUCGGUGAUGCCCGUGGCGGACUGGGAGAAGCUUCUGAGAUGGUCGCGGCGGUCAGCUCCGAGUCUGUACCAGUUGUGCGGACCCUCCGGUAGCUCUGUGCAUCAGUCGGUGGCUUUCCAGACCUGCCUCUGUUGGCACCGUUCGGGCUGCCUGAGACUCGGCUUUGUGAUCGGAAAACGCUCCUGAGUGUCCUGCCACACAGCGAGAUCUUCCUCUGUGUUUGCGGAGGACAAGCGGAUAAUCUGUUUUCAGAGGAAAUUUAUUGUUCCUUUUUAAAUUAGAAACAAACUUAGGUCCUCCUGAUGCAGAAAGAAUACAACUACAAAUCACCCAGAAAUAACACUCUUCUCUGUACCCAUUCCUCAAAAAAAAAGCCUUAGUUUUUUAUGAUCAUAAUACGUACUUGAUUUAUAAGCUGUUUGCACUUAAUAUUAGGUGUACUUCCGUAUCAACAGGGAAUCACGCCGCAUGAUUUCGUGUCUGCACGAACCACCCUUUAUGUACGGACCCUUCCGGUUUCCUAGUGGUGUAAUCCCCGUGCCUUUGUUUCCUCCUGACGAGGUCCAGAGAGGGAAUUGGAGUCGAAGGGUCUCACGUUUUAAAGCCCUGGAUACCUAGUGACCACGGCUUCGGGUUUCCAGACGCCCUUUCAGCGGUGCCGGGCUGCCGUGACGAAGUCCCUGUUGGACACUUGAGCUCGCCGGCAUCCGGGGGAAGCCCUGCUUCCGAAUGGCUGACUUCGCCAGAUGGCAGAAGGGUUAGUCAGUCAGGUACCAAACUGGGUUUCUUAGUCACGGAGAAUCGCGGGCCACCAGGUGAAGGGGUCAGUCCUCUCUGUUAGAGGCAGCGUGUGAUCUGAGCUGUUAAGGAAACUGGGAGCAGGCCCCGUCCCCACUUCCCCCUUCCGUGGGAGUUUGUCGCUGGAGCGGCCACUUCCUUGAGCAGAGACAGGAGGGGCAGGGGAAGCGGCUGUCCUGCCCCUCUCCUCCUCGCCCUGCCUUCCCCGGGUCUCCGGACUGGGGCCUGCGCACAGGGCGCCCCCGGGGGACUCUCCUGGGACCACCAUGUCCUUGACGUAGCACCACCUGUAGGUGCCGUAAGGGCUUUGUGAGAUGGAGGGGGUUAGAAAGGGCGUAGACACUCGGAGCGGCUCAGCGAUGUGUGCCAUCUUGUAAAUGGUGCGGACGUGACCCAUCGCGUCUGUGGAUCCCUGACCACGGCUCUGGCUUCAGGUGCACGGAGGGUAGUGGAGGACGGUGGUUUUGUUAAUGCUGUUUUACUUGUUAGAAAGGAAGAGUAAUUUGAACUCUGGGCCAUACACAAAGCCAUCCCGAAGUUCUCAUUAGCCAAAACGGUACCUUUUUUAAGAAAACUAGCUUUGAUUUUACUGUUGUGAGUAUAUUUCAUACUUCCCUUUAAAAACGGGCCUUUUGUAUUCACCUGAUCCACGGGCCAAAUUGAAGUAACUGAAGGAAUUCAUAGCGCGAGAGACCGUAGUUUCCAGUUUGAAACUUUUGUGGCACUUCCUCCUUUUUGCCUUAGGAUAAAUUCAGAACCUGGAAACCGCUUUGGUUGGAUUUUACAUAUAAAUACCAUCAAAAAGGCCCGUUGUGUCUUGGCAGUCUUUAGUGGUGUUCCUUAAUUACGCCCUUGUCUUUGAGGUCAGUUCCUGAUUAUAUGUAUGUAAUGUGAGGAAUUUUUAUUCUUAUUUUUUAAUCCCAUUUGGUGGUUACGAGUGUCCUCAGGCAGCCCGCAGCCCGCCUGUCUCCCAUCUCCUGGCACAGUUCCUGUGUACCUGGCUCUGCCCCUGGUGACGAGAUUGCAAGUUCAGAGAAAUACUGGUUGAUCCUACAAGCGUUUGCAGCGGUCGCCCACUUGGCGUCGCGGGCGGUCCUGAAGCUCGGGUUCCCUGCGCCUCCAGGGGUCCCGGGAGGGGUCCCCGGAGCUGCGUGGCGGACAGGCACGCCCUUGUUUCCAUGGCAGCCAAAGCUUCCUCUGACUCCAGUGGCUUAAGCUAGAACAUUUUAGAAGGAGGGGGUGGUGGAACCACUCACUGCUUUUUAAUUGAAAAGCAAAAUCCGUUGCACUGAGUUGACUCUGCAAAUCUGGGAACACUAUCUAAAGAUCAAAGGUAAAAAGUCACAGGAGAAAGUCUGUAUUUUAGCAUAAAGCAAAUGUUGCAGGGAUGUUCCCUCUGGGGGCAGUUCGUCCUUCUUUCCGCGUAAUUUCCUCCUAAAUGUUCUUGUGCCUGCUUCCUGGGUGCUGGAUGCUGGCCAUGUUCUCCUUCACAUUAGGGAGCAGUGUUAGUGCAAGAUGCAGAGGAAUCCUGUUUAGAGAGAUGCUUGAUGUCGAUCCUAACGCCUUGCCCCCUAAAAUUUAGGAAGAAAAUAAGUACUUUGAUUUGACUCAACAUGAGAAAUAUUUGCUGUCACGUAGACUGUCAUUCGAGUCAGCUGAUGUAGCUUUAGUGCCUGAUCCUGCAUUAAAAAAAAUUUUUUUUAAUGCUUAUUUGCUUUUGAGAGAGAGAGAGAGAGAAGAGCAGAGAGCGAGGGAGACACGGAAUCAAUCGGAAGCAGGCUCUAGGCUCUGAGCUGUCAGCACAGAGCCGGACGCGGGGCUCAAACCCAUGAACCGGGAGAUCAGGACCCGAGCCGAAGUCAGACGCAACCGGCCGAGCCCCCCCAGGCGCCCCUGCUCCUGCAUGUUUAAACCUGGCCCUGUGCUUGUGGACGGCGCAGGCUGGGCAGCUGCCUCGAGGGAAGAGGACGGCGGGGCGCAGGGUCCCGUUGGAACGCGGUGCCUUCCACGCUGUGUCCAUGUAGCUGGGUUCACACACGCAAGGCUCUCCCCAGGGCCCCCCCCCCCGCCCCCCUGGCUCCUUCUGGAAUGGGGUCAGGAGGGAGGUGUCGCGGUGCUUGCUGUUCACUCCCAUUUGAUUCACCCCCCCCCCCGGCCCCCCGUGUCCCACUGGGUGUUACCUAAGAGACACACGCAGUUCUUGGAUGUCUGGGCAGGUCUGUGACCGUGAGGAACCUGUGCCCGUGCCCUGGCCCCGUGGCCCUAGGAAUUCCUGGUAGGGUCCAGCAGCCCUCUUGGCAGUUCUGACGUUUUCCUUUGCAGAUGGAAAAGUGGGUGUGGGUGUGCUAAGCAAAGAAACUCUGGGGCCCUGUGAGUCCAUAGUGUUAAUCCGUGGCAUAGCAGCCUUCCCAUCAGCAUCUCGCACCGCGACUGGAAGGUCACUGUCUUUCCAGAAGGACUCUGCUGCCGCUGCGUUUCCCUGCCAGUGUGUGCAUGGUUACGCCAGCGUGCUGGGGGAGGGCGGCCCCUCUGGGGAGCACUGCAGCUGGGGCUCCUGCCUCUGGUUUAGCGCAGCGCCUGGGAUGACUUCACCUGUGCUCCUGCUGUGUCCCAUCGUCUCGAUCCCCGCCUGCACCUGGGGUAACAGGUCUCACGGUGGGCUGGAGAGACCGGCGCAGGAGGCUGCUCUUAGCUGCUGUGGAGCCCGGGUUGGGGCAGUGGGAGCCAGCGGUGCCCUCCCUGGUGUCCCACUAGGAAUGCAGGCCCCGCAGAGGCCUCCAGCUGGGCUGGGACAAGUCCACUAGACUGCACUGACGUCAGACUCGGCACCGAGAGCCCCAGCGGGUGGCCGGGUCUGGUGGUCUGGUGAAAUGUGGCCGUGCAGUGCUUUAUGCUCCAGGAGCCCAGGUCACAUCCCGGGAGACCCUAAACUAUACUGUUAAAAGCAUAGUCAUUCCUGAGAAGUUAUUGGGAGGUGUGGUGCCUUAGAGAGAAAAAAAACGCCCUAAGUAGUGUGUGCAGUUUGAAAGUUCACUUGAAUUGCAACAUGCCAGUUUUAAGGCGUUAAAAAACAUCAUCUCAGCUAUUCGUUAGCGUUGGCACACCGGUCUGCUUCCUGUUCAAAAGAGAAAGGGAUUUUCCUUGAGCUCUGUGCUUAUGCUGCUCUUUUCUCUAAAAGGGAGAGGUUUCUAAAGAUCAGUUUUCUCUUUUUAAUGGAGUAAUUAAGGGUUGGUCUGGCCCUCUACCUUCAGUGCUCAUAUGAGUCCGUUCCUUUCCAGCCGUCUGAGCGCCUCCACUGGCUAGGUGCUGGACCAGCCGGUAGUGAUGGGCGCCGGCGGUCUGCUCAGGCCGCCUGCCUCCGGUGGGAAGUGCCCCUCCCUUUUCCCGGGUGCCAGGGCAGGGGGAAAGGCGGGCAGCUGGUGCCGGCUGCCCCCAGGCCGGUGGGGCCUGACUGGCUCCUAGGGAGGCUGUGCUGCCAGGGUCUCGGAAGCAGGGCUCUGAGUUACUCAGGUGGACAGGGGAGGAGCGUGGGCAGGGGCCGUUCCCUCCCGUCCUGCAGACCUGUCCCCACCUCCCGGAGCUUCUGGUGGGGGUGGGGGUGUGAUACUGAGCAGCGCCCUACCCACCUAUGGGAGGGAGCGGCCUGGCCUCUGCUGGAGGUGUGUGGGAAGGGGGUGGGUGUGUGUGCCAGGUGGCAGGUUGUGUAAGAGGGCAGGGGAGGAGACCGCCAGCACUGUCCAGCAGGGGAGGGCCAGACAUUGGUCAGCGAGAGAGAGAGAGAGAGAGAGAGAGAGAGAGAGAGAGGCACCCAGGAGGAGCACUGGGGCCCCAGGGGUUGGUCCUGUCCUGCUGGCGGCUGCAGGGGAAUCCACUGAGAAAUCAUUUAAUUAGACUGACUUGUUAAAAGUGUAGCAAUAUUUUCAUCCCCUUGCUUCCAGGGGCGGUCCCUUUCCACAUUUCCUUUGCUUCAGUCUGUUAAUGCUCAGAAUAGUGCGUGUGCACGUGCACACACGCACACACACACACACACACACACACACACACACACACACGGCUCUCCCUUUACCAAUGACACCCUGUUCACAGCAAGCUGAUCCAAAGGAGCCAAGUAAAAACGGACGUCAGGUCUGACACGUGUCGUGUUUGGUUUCCGGAGUGUCCUCGACUGUGCCUUGUGACACAGAACACUCAAAGCCUGGGUUAUGAAAAGAUUUAAGUCCCAGUGAAGCCUUUGAUCAUUUGACGUGUGUCCAAAGCAGGACGCUUGACUGGAAGGGGUGCAGCUGGUAACCUCGCCGUGUGCUGGGCUGUGCGGUCAUCGUGCCCGCUGUGAGCGUGUCCCGCCUGGCUGUGGUGUGGGUGCAGCGCAGGUGCGUGGGUCCGCCAGGGAUCUGGGUCCAUGGACUGGGUGGAGGCCUGGGUCUGCGUUUGUGAGUGAACUCCCUCGGCUGUCCUGAUCCAGACCGAUUCACACUGUCUCCGUCCACACGGGCUCCCAUAGCAAAACCACACCCUGGGGGGCUCCGAAACAGCAGACACUUCUCUCCGUUCCGCAGGCUGGAAGUCCAGCCAGGGUGUCGCCACAUUCACCAGCUUUCUGUCUCAGGGGCUUACUUCCUGGGUCAUAGCCCCUCUCUUGCUGUGUCCUCACAGGGUGGAAGGAGCCAGAAAGCUGUGGGGUGGCUUUCAUAAGGGCACCGAUCCCAUACGUGAGGGUUCCGUCCUCACGGCCUAAUCCCCUCUCAGAGGAGUUUGGGGGGGGGGGGGUCACGCACUCGGAGCAGCCACACACAUUUGAGGACACCACAGAGUUACACGCCUAACUGAAAUUCAUGUUAACUUUGUAUUUCUUGAGCCCACAUUUCGUAGACAAUAGAGGCACUGAGUGAUGGGAGGAGACAAGCCUGGGUUUCUGCAGGUGACACUUAUAAUCCCAAAGGCAGGUAAUUUCAGGUGUGAGAAAGUAUUCCCAAGGAUGGAACAUUCAGUGUGACCACCUCUUGGUUCCUUUUUUGUCAGAUGUUUUUGGUUGUGUGUGUGUUUUUUUUUCUGUAAGGACACACAUUUUUUUCUUAUCAGUGAACUGUUUUUUACAACAGUUUUAGGUUCAUAGCAAAACUGAGCAUACAGUACCGAGUUCCCAUGUGUCGUCAUCCUACACAUUCAGCCGCCUCCGUCUCCAGCGUCCCCGACCACAGCGGUUCCUGUGUUACAGCUGACAAACCGGUACUGACCCUUGGUCAUCAGGCCAAGUCCGGAGCUUGCCGUGGGGUUCACUCCUGCUGCUGUGCGCUCUGGGUUUGGGCAGCCGGGCGACGUGUCUCUACCAUUGUGGUGUCGUGGAGAGUGGUUUCACUGCCCUGAAAUUGCCGUCUCCACCCCCGCCCACGCCACCCCACUCCAGCCCCGGGCAACCACCAAUGUUUUUACUGUCUCCACGGUUUUGCCUCUUCCACGGUGUCAUAUAGUCUUUGGGGACUGGUUUCUUUCACUUAGCAAUGUGCAUUUAAGGUUCUUUAGUAUCUUUUCGUGGCUUGAUAGCUCAUUUCUUUUUAGUGCUGAAUAACAACAUCCCCUUGUCUGGCUGGACCACAGAUUAUUUAAACACUCACCUGCUGAAGGACACCGUGGCUGCUUCCUGGUUUUGGCAAUUGUGGAUAACACUGUAAACAUCCACGUGCCGGUUCUUGCGUGGACAGAAGUUUUCAGCUCCUGUGGGUAAAUGCCAGCGAGCGUGAUUGCUGGAUCAGCUGGGAAGAGCUCGUUCGGUUUGUGAGAAACCCCCGAACUGUUUCCCAAGGUGACCGCGCCGUUCUGCGUCCCCAGGAGCCGUGAGUGCGCGUCCCUGUUCCUGAGCGCGCGCCCCUGUUGCUCGGCGUCCCCGACAGGUGCUGUCCGUGCGCAUGCUCCGGCCACGCCCAGAGGUGUGUGCUGGGAUCUCGUAUUUUACAGUUUUCUGACGCUGCGUGACGUGGAGCUUCUUUCCGUGUGGUUACUUGCCAUCCAUGCGUCUUUAGUGAGCUGUCUCUGGGUGUUUUGCCCUUUCUUAAAUCAAAUUGUUCGUUUUCUUGUUGAGUUUGUUGUGUAUUUUGGAGAUGUGUCUUUUGCAAAUAUUUUCUCUCAAUCUGUGGCUUGUCUUGUUACAACAUUGAUUUUAUGUUGGAAAUCAAUGGGAUUUCUUAAAUGCUUUUCAGGAAAUAACCUUAUAAACAGAUUUGCCAGAAUGCUUCUUUCUUAUCAAGGAUACUUUAGACUUGCUUGAUUAAAUUUUAUGUCUUUUUAUACUCUUGGUCUAAAAUCUGAUCAUCGAGAGAGAGAGAGAGAAAGCGCGAGAGGGCGAGAGCCAGCACACACACUCGAGCAGGGGAGGGGGAAGAGUGAGGGGAGAGAAUCUUAAGCAGGCUCCACGCAGGGCUCGAUCCCAUGACUGUGUGAUCGUGACCUGAACCAAAAUUAAGAGUCUGACGCUUUUAACGACCGAGCCACCCAGGCACCCCGAAGUAGACCUUAUCAUCUACUGCUGUCUGCUUGGUUUCCCUGGCUCUUACGUUGUCUGUAGGUUGGUAUUCUUUGCCAUGGUCAUCUGGUGAGAGAGGGAGGCAGGCUGAUGGUAACGGAGAGGACCGUAGUAGUAAAUAUUUUACAGGGUCAUUGGAGGUUAACAGUUGAUGACGUUUUAGAAAAAUGUUAGCAGUUCAGUGGAUUUUCUGAGGGUAGGGAUGCCUGUUUUUAACUGGUGGGUGUACAAAACAGACAGCUGUGGCCGCAAACGGGCCGCCGUAACGCAUUCGCUGCCCACCUCCAGGGCCCGGAGUGCUGCCGGCGCGCAUGCGUGCCCGUGCGCGUGCGGGGGCGGCGUGGAAGGGGCGGGACGUGUUUGAGGUGCGUUGCAAGCGUGCUCCGAUUCCCGCGAGCGUUAUCCAGGAGCUGUGGCUCCGCGGCUUUUGUAGUCGCACGGCUUUCGAAUGUGCGUGGAAUCUCCAAGUUGAACCCAAGCUCCUGGUGCCUGUCAGAAAUCACGCUGCAGCUAACUUUUGAUGGCAUUCAGUUAACAGCGGCUUUCCACAUCGCGAAUGGUAGGAAGUCACGUGUUCUGGCAUCGGUUACUCUUAAAUUAGAAACAGGACAAUAGAGGAAGUUGUUGAUUGGAACAAUUGUAGUUUCACUAAGUGCAUCUGCAGAUCAUAACCAAACUGUUGUCCCCGAGCGCGCUGACGGUCCCUGGGCUCCAGAGUUUCUCUGCUCGGGGAAGCCCGUCUGAGAGGUGUUGCUGCUCUUCUGAAUAGAAGACUCUGGAGUCGGAGGUCACAACCUGUCCACGUUCUUCGGCUCCGCGGCAGGGUCUUAGGCAUGUGCGGUUUCCCGUGCUCUGGGGUCUUAAGCUGCUUCAGUGCAGUGGCAGGGUUUCGCCUGGGCAUGUUACAUUAGGUACUUCAGAAGGGAACAUAACAUGCUAAUGGUUUUAGUCAUUUUGGUUAAUGCCCCAGCAUUUAUGUAAAACAGCGUCCUUAGAGAAAACAGUUUGCGAGCUAGAAGAGUACUUCCCGUGCCUCACUUUGUGGGCAGUUAACCUGGCUUUCGGUACCCGAUCGCCCCCCUCGGUGCCAUGACUCCCCCGGCACCCAGGCCCCGGGUCAGGGCAGGGCAGCCACAUGGCCCAGCCCUGCGGUGCUCCAGCUCCUUCCUUUCCUUCUCAAGGGUUCUUUCCAUUCCUUUUCCCGUGGAGCCUCCACGGAAAGGGCCCUAGACAGUGAGGGGAGACCGUUUCAGACUCUUCUGCAGACUUUUUAUGCCCAGGAAAGGUGCAGCCAUCUGCCACCUGGCCCCUUGUGCCUCACUCCUGAACAAGUGCUGUGAUUUAGUUCAGUUCAGACCGGCAGGGACCCCGAAUUCCUGUCUGAGGAGCCGAUGAUCGGGCUCCACACAGCGCGCACGCGAGCUUUGGAACAUCACCCUCUGUUCCACCAAGUUGGGGACUGCACGUAGUGGUUUGGUUAGUUUGGUAAUGGUCAGUACGUUUGUCAACCUGGUGAUGGCCUUUUUGUCCAUUCUCACUCAGACACUAAAGAAUUAGAUUAUCAAAUUAAAAUGUAAAAGUCAGUAGCCUUAAUUACACAGGAAGGGGGACACGGGGGCGUUGCAGAGUAUUGGAAAUGUCCUGUGUCUUGACGUAAAUUUGUCAAAAUGUAAUGAACAUGGUACAUCUUCCUGCCUGUAAGUUGUACCUGAGCAAAUGAAUAAACAUCGCUUACUGGCCGUCUCGUAGGCAAACUAACUGAUUGGGAAAUAUAAGGGAAGAGAAAAUCCCAUUUACAUUGGCCACAAAAAAGAUAAAGAUUGUUAGGAAGAGGCUUACCUAGAAAUGUGGAAAACUCGUGGAAGGAGUAUUUCGAAAUUCUUGCAAGAGGUACUGAGGUGGUCUCAGACAAAUAGAGCGAGAGCCCUCCUUCUCCGGCACGGCAAUGUAGCAACCUACAAUGGCCGUUCUCUCGGGGCUGAUCUAUGAGAUUAAUGGAAUCACAUGAGAGUACCAACAAAAAAUACUGUUUUUCCUGAGCUAGUCAAGCUUUUAAAGUUCGUGUACUUAAAACAAACAUGGCAGAAUAAAUAGGAACAUGUGGGGAGAUAGCAGUGUUAUUGGACAUGGGCAGACAGGCAUGCUAGUUGAACAGAAUAGAAAACAGGGAAACAGACCCAAGAACCGAUGGAAAUUUGAUGUAUGAUAAAGAGGAAUCUCAACGUUGGGGGUGGCCUUCCAAAUACAUCCCGUUGCGAUGAUCAGAUGAUCGUUGGGAAAAGAUAACGGUAGAUCCUUACCUCACACCAUACACAGGAAUAUGAAUCCGAGAUCUAAAACGUUCCCACUAGAUUUUCACUGGGAACUGAUGGCCAAGUUGAGCAUCCUACAGCCUGUAUGCGUAGCCUCAGAGUCUUUACGGAAUGUGCUAGGUGUUCUCAAACCUAUCCGAUUAGGCCACUACAUCUCCCAUGUACUAUGGACCCUUCAGCUGUGGCUCUUUAACAGAAAUAACUUGCAUUGGCUCUUCUGUCUUUAACUGGCUCUCCCCUCACAGGCUGGGUUGCCACGGUCUCUGAUUUAGUUCUUCACGUAGCUAAUGCUCGUAUUGCUAAGUGCAUGAUGCUGAAAUUUUAUUUUUAAAUUAUUUUGUGUCAUCCCCUAAAAUGCUUAUAAAAUCCCCAGGGCUUGCAGGAGUGUUUGGCAACAGUGGCUUCGCCAAGUGCUGUCUUGCUGAUUAGCAGUUGGGCAUUAUCUUCAAGGUGUCGGACUGUAAGCCAGGUUAGUCAAACCUUGGAGGAACCCGAGCGUCCACUGACGUGAGUGGAUUUUGUUAGUUCGGCCUCAUUUAAACUUACUGGUUGGAAAGCAGCUUUGACUCUGGGAAUUUGUGCUAACUUGUGAAGGCAUUCCCACCGCGGCUUGAGGAUGCUAACGUGGUGAGUCCAUAGAGCCGUGAGACGCGGUUGGAGUUUUGUAUUUACUAACUGCUGCUUAAAGUCAAACUAACCGAAGAUGCUAACGAUAUUUGUCAUUUUCAUCAAUAUAGAUGACAGUGAAGUUGCCUGUGUAAAAUCUAUUCUUGCCACUUGCCACUGCGUUUGCACGGCUUGAGGAAGGGAAGCCAGCUGUGUUAAUGCCUAGACUCCUUGAAUGACAGGUAAACCCCACACCACGCUCAUGCCAUUUCACGCGGGCUUCCCUGAGGCCUGACCCUGGUAGCCGGCCGCCCCGACCAACUGGGCGCGAUGCUCUCCGAGAGCUGGUGCGGGUGGGGGUGGCUUUCCAGUGUAUACGGCCCCUAGUGCGUACUGGUCAGCUGGUGGGCUGGCGCUCAUUCAUUCGUUCAUUUAUUCAUUCGGUCUCUCUGUAACCUCACCGGGCUCCUGCCGUGUGGCCAGGCACAGCGGGGGGUGUGGGGACAUGGGUGGUGGCAUCUUCUGUGGGAGUUUCUCUGUUUCCCCGGGGCGAGGGUGGCUGUGAGAGCUCCUCUCACGAGGGGGUGGGGCCAGUCUUCCGGGGAGGGCCGAGCUGGAGAAGGGUCCCCAGAGAUGCUCUCUGAGCAUAUGGUGGGGGGGUGGGGGGGGGCGGGGCCCGCCGAAGCCAGGUGGGGCUUUCUUUAGAGCUCCCCAGAGAAUCGUGUACUCUCGAGGGGAAAUAGCUGGAACCCUUCUCCCUGUCCCAGACCGGAUCCCAGAGGCCACCUCCUGCUAUGGGAGAGUGUGGCUGGAGCCCGCCUGUGCUGGAGUCCCGUCUGCUUUGAGCAGCAACUGAUUGGGUCCAUAAAGGGGCAGGAUGUGGACCUUGCCACAUCUGGUCCUGUUGAUUGAUUCAAAAUGUAAUAACAUAAAGUGUCACGUUUCAGCAUUUCUGGAGACUUCUCCCUGUUUAAUCAUAACCUUAGAACAGUGUUUCUCAUCUUUGACAGAGUUGACGUUUUGGGCUGGAUCCUUGUCUGCUGUGGGGCCGUGCUGAGCAGUGUCUCUGGCCCCUACUCAAGUUGUGAUAACCAGCAGUCUGUCCAGACACUGCCUGGUGUCCUCAGCGGCACACGGCUGCCCCCGGUUGAGAACCACUGCCUUAAAACAGCUCAAGUCUGUUCCAUAUGGAGCGUGGCUUCUAGCUGUUGCGGAGACGGCCCCAGCAGAAACUGCCUUAUCUCAGACUGGGUGUCGGGACGGCCCCAGCCGUGGGUAGAGGGCACUGGGACGGAGCUAAAGGGUCUCGUGUUUGUAAUGAAAUCACUAGGAUUCAUAGAAAACCGAUGACUCAUUUCUGCCCCAAAAACCCCGGACAGUUUGGGCUUUUACAAAAGCCCAGAGUAUGUCUGGACAUACUUUGUUCGCAUAAAAAUCAUCUGUCUUAUUUGGUGGAUGGAAUAAGGCAUUUAAAAUCAUUGACCCUAUUUUGGCGUAAGAAUCACAGGUUGACAAAAGGGUUUCUUUCCUUUCGUUUUCUUAGGCUGGGAAUCGCUCCACAGGUGGGGAUAGAGAGUAAGAACAGCAGGUGUUGGUAAUUGGGUGUUUUUGUGUUUUUUUUUUUAACGUUUAUUUAUUGUUGAGGGGGGUGGGGAGAGAGAGAGACAGACAGACUGUGAGUGGGGAAGGGGCCGAGAGAGGGGGAGACACAGAAUCUGAAGCAGGCUCCAGGCUCCGAACUGUCGGCACAGAGCCCGACACGGGGCUUGAACUCAUGAACUGCAAGAUCAUGACCUGAGCCGAAGUCAGAUGCUUGACUGAGCCACCCAGACACCCCUUGGUUUGGUAAUUGUUAAUGUUGGGUGAUUUUUUGUUUUCAAUAUCAUUUUGUUUACUUUUUGUGUUAGAAGUGCUUUCAUAGGGGCGGCUGGGUGGCUCAGUUGGUUAAGCAGCUGACUCUUGAUUUCGGCUCAGGUCAGGAUCUGAAGGUUUGUGAGUUCGAGCCCCAGGUUGGUCUCUGUGCUCACAGCGAAGAACCUACUUUGAAUCCUCUGUCUCUCUCUCUCUCUCUCUCUCUCUCUCUCUCUCCCUCUCUCCCUCUCUCUCCCUCCCUCUCCCAUGUGCACUCUUUCUCUCAAAAAUAAAUAAGUGUUAUAAAAAUUGAAAAGAAGUGGUUUCAUAGUAUGUUUUCUAAAAAGGUAGAGGUUAGAAACCGUGGGCUUUUUUUUUUUUUUUUAAUUUAGAAACCGUGGUUUUAACGCAGAUAUUAUAUGGUAGGGGACACUUAGAAAAUUUGUGAGGAGUCUCGAGCUCGGGGAUCCUCAGUGUGAAGCAUAGUGGCGUUCAGGGGCCGUGAGGGGCACACGUGCAGUCAGGACACGGACACGCAAUGGACGUGCGAUCCGCAAGGAUGUUGCUGCACGAAGGGGGCCGGGAGGCAGCCCCACAGUGGUGAAGUGGCGGGGAAGAACUUGACCUUGAGGGAGGGCAGCCCGGCCUUGCCCAAGGUUGGGGACCUGCCAUCGCCCUGGGGCUCUCUGAGGGGGCGCUAAGUGAAAGUGGCCCUUAGUUUCUCAUUCCUUCUCGGGGGAAGGGAGAAGGCACUAAUUAAGAUCAUCUUUGGCUAUGUGAAUAGUAACUAGAAACAUUUUUAUUUAAACCUUUUGUUGAAAAUCUCUGGUAGGAUAUCAACUCACAGACCUACCUUAAUAUAAAAAAGACGUGAACACCAUUUGUGUGAUUUUGGGGUCCCCUCUCUUUUAAAACUUUUUUAGAGAGUGAGCACACACGAGUGUGUAAGCAGGGGGAGGAGCAGGGGUGAGUGGGGGUGGGAGGGAGAGAGAGAGAGAGAGAGAGAUAGAGAGAGGGAGAGAGAGAAUGAAUAUCUCAAACAGGCACCACGCCCAGUGUGGAGUCUGACAUGGGGCUUGAUCCCACAGCCCCAGUAUCAUGACCUGAGCUGAAAUCAAGAGUCGAACGCUCAAGCAACUGAGCCACCCAGGCGCCCCCACAGGGUCCCCUUUUUUAAUUCAUUGCAGAUUGAACAGAACCCCAGUUCCUGGAGGCCGGACUCCAGCAGAGUGCAUGGGCAGAACUGCAUCCUUAGUCUUGCCUUGCGUUUUCCUAAAACCUUUCUAAGGGGAAAUUUCGAGCUAAAUGCGAGGCAGUCGAUGCUUUAUUGUGGUCUGCUCCUCUGGGGAGAGAAUGCAUCACAAAGCUGGGUUGUAGGGACCAGGGCAGGGUAAGUGCAGGAUGGGGUCGGGAGUCCCACACCCCUAGGAAGGUGUGUGGGUCGGGAGUCUGUGAGCCCCCGCGUGUGAUAUUCAGACUUCGGGAUGCAUGUACUUUUUUCCUGGAGAGGGGCUGUAACUUUCAUUUGAUCAUCAGAAAGUUUCAUGACCCGAAAAGGUUAAAGACCACCGCUGUAGAUGGCCCACACAGCAAGAACUCAGCUGCCUUUGGGUGGACUUUGAAUGUCCCCGCUUUAGGUGGCAAAACCCCCCGUUCUUGCCGUACCUACCCUCCCGCUUUCCACCUCCUGGCCGACAUCUCCGCUCCUUUUCCAGCCUCCCUGCCUCCCCCGCCCCUCCACCCCCACUGCCGGCCAGUCUGCUGAUGGUUAUUGCUGGCCCGGGAGCGGAAGUUGAGCUGCCUUCCUCUGUCUGCUCGUUUUUUUCUGCCCUGGCUUCCCUCUGUUGUCCUGUCUUCAUCCUGCCCCAGGAUUAGAUCCAUAGAAGAUGUUUCUCUGGGAGCUGGGGUCUGUUUUCUCUGCAGCUGACCCAGAGUAAGCACCAGAGACCUGCGGCGGUCUGAGGUCGGGGUCUCCCAGGUGGCCGAGGACCAGUCCGUGGAGCGCCUGGCCAGCCAGGGGUGGGAGGCCACGUGGCGGCCGCCCCCGACUGACUCUCUGGUGGGGUUGUUUUCCUCUUUUGCAGAUCAACGAGUCACUCGAUGGGGAGCAACGGCGGACCACCUUUUUGUGUCACCUUCCCACUUCUCUGUAGCAAGAAAAAUCACUUCAGCACCUCUUCAAUAAUAAUGAUGAAACUGGUAUUAACUGAAUGGCAAUUAUGGAUUUUUAACUCUAAUUCACAGUAAACCAGCAAGCCAUAUGUUUAAAAUCCAACCAAAAAUCAUUCUGUUCUGCUGCGUGUCUCACCCGAUUGUGAGAAGUGGAGAGAUCUCUGUUUGUACAAAGAGGGAUAUAAGCAUCACUUGCCGGAGGAACACAACUGAAGCAGAAGGAGAAGGUGUCCUAAUUUAUCCUUAAAGAUAUAUGAUAGCAUUAUUUAUAUAGAUAGAGGAAAUAUAUAUAUAUUAACAAAUAUAUAUAUAUAUAUACACACAUAUAUAUAUAUAUUUUUGGUGGUAAUGAAAAUGGCUCCGCAAAAUGCCGACUCAGAAUCUAUGCAAGUUCAAGACUUACCUGUGCCCCUGCCAGACCUGCAGAAGCCCGGAGGUGCGGACACCCACUACGAGACCAUCAGCGAGGGGUCCAUAGACCGGAUCCCUGUGCGCCUGUGGGUGAUGCACGGGGCCGUGAUGUUCGGCAGGGAGUUCUGUUACGCCAUGGAGACGGCACUGGUCACUCCCAUCCUGUUGCAGAUUGG
rnacentral:lncRNA from 1 species